rnacentral:rRNA from 1 species
AUCGAACGCUGGCGGCAGGCCUAACACAUGCAAGUCGAACGAGUGGCGGACGGGUGAGUAAUGUCUGGGAAACUGCCUGAUGGAGGGGGAUAACUACUGGAAACGGUAGCUAAUACCGCAUACCAUCGGAUGUGCCCAGAUGGGAUUAGCUAGUUGGUGGGGUAACUGCUCACCUAGGCGGCGAUCCCCAGCUGGUCUGAGAGGAGGACCGGCCACACGAGAACUGAGACACGGUCGAGACUCCUACGGGAGGCAGCAGUGGGGAAUAUUGCACAAUGGGCGCAAGCCUGAUGCAGCCAAGCCGCGGGUAUGAAGAAGGCCUUCGGUUUGUAAAGUACUUUCAGCGGGGAGGCGUUACCCGCAGAAGAAGCAACGGCUAACUCCGUGCCAGCCGCCGCGGUAAUUC